GUCUGUCAUCUGUCACUAGAGGGUGAGCACCUCAAAGUCUAGGAUUUUAUCUUGUUCAUUCUGUGUUCCCAGCUCCCUGGCACUUUACUGACACAAUGCUUGUGGAAUGAAUGAAUAAACAGCACAGAUCAGUAAUUAAACCAAUGUCAGGAAGCUACUAGAUAUAAUUACAAAUUAGUAUUCAUGACAAUAAGUUUAUCAUCAUAAGAGCUUAGGAGUGGAGGAAAACAAUUUUCAGCAGGAUGGCUAAGGAAUUUGCAUUUGAACUGGGAAACUAAUUCUCAUAGGUAAGGGGAGGAAAAAGGAAGAACAGUCUGGAAAUGAAACUAAAGUCCCAAAGGUCAGAAAGCCUGCGGUGGUCUCUGACAGCGAGAACGGUAGGGGUGGCAAGUAAGACAACAAAUGAAAUAAAAUAAUUAUAAUAAAGUAUUCUUAAAGGGGAACUGUGAGGAGACAGUUGUGUAGGGACAACUGAGGUGGUGGGAUAAGAAUAAGAAAGUGCUUCGAGGACUCUGCUGACAGCCAUCUUGAACCACUGCCACACUUGUAAAGGUGUUUGUUUCCUAUGGUGAUAUCACUGUUGCUUCUUUUCCCUAGCUUCAGUCCUGCAGAGACUUUACACUAGGAGCUGCUCCUUCCAUUUAGGUAUGCCGCCACCGUGCGGUGGGAGUGUGCAGCUACAUGACUUACUGGCAGGCUCACAUUUUACCUUAACAUAAGUGGAUGGAAAUUGUUCUCAAGCUCAGCACGUUUACAGAUCCAACUUUAAUGACAUCUAAAUAUCAUACAGAGAUUUAUCUUUACAUUAGCUGGGGUCAAGCAAAGAAGACCAUACGCAACUCAGUUCACAAUCAACCAGGCCCUCCCUCCUUCAUGUGUAUUCCUUCUGUGUUUUCCUCCU
rnacentral:lncRNA from 1 species